CCUCCACCAUCGCAGAGAACGGGAGGAAAACGUGCCUGAAGCUCAAAGUUUUCGUCCGACCGUCAAACAACUGUGUGAAAACUAUAGGCGUACAUGACCGUGUUCUUGACGUAAACGACAAAGUAGACAAUAUGUUAGAACCACGAGACGAUACCAGCCAUGAAUCCGCCGAGCCUUCCCGAAGCGACGAAACAAAUGCUGCACCCCACCUGCGGAUAGCAAGUCUACUUCUGGCUGCGCUGCUGGCCUGCCUAUCAACACUCCUCACCUUAUAGCGCCUUUCUCCCCUGGAUGGCAACUACACCUGGUGCGGCCUAAACCUGCCCAACGCUGAAGAUAAAGAGACGGGUUGGGAUUUGGACAGAGCAGAGUGGUUGGAUUGGGCAUCAGAGAUGGUUUCUCAAUGAACCCUCUAUUUUUUUCAAAUAUUUAAGUGGUCUUUUCUCCGUAUGUGAGUGAAAAACAUUGACGUUGGAAGUGGGAGAGACAGUCCCCCCCCCCCUCCCCCCCCCCUCUUAAACUUUCAACUAAAAUGCCAAAUCCCGUUUUUUGACACUUAGUGAUUCUUGUUUUCCCGUGACAUUUUA